AAAGUACUCCCUCCGUCCGAAAAUACUUGUCAUCAAAAUGAAUAAAAGAAGAUGUAUCUAGACAUAUUUUAAUUCUAGAUACAUCUCUUUUUAUCCAUUUUGAUGACAAGUAUUUCCGGACGGAGGGAGUAGGAA
rnacentral:pre_miRNA from 1 species